rnacentral:rRNA from 1 species
CGCGGCCUAUCAGCUUGUUGGUGGGGUAACGGCCCACCAAGGCAUCGACGGGUAGCUGGUCUGAGAGGACGAUCAGCCACACUGGGACUGAGACACGGCCCAGACUCCUACGGGAGGCAGCAGUGGGGAAUAUUGCGCAAUGGGCGAAAGCCUGACGCAGCAACGCCGCGUGGGGGAUGACGGCCUUCGGGUUGUAAACCCCUUUCAGCAGGGACGAAAAUGACGGUACCUGCAGAAGAAGCCCCGGCCAACUACGUGCCAGCAGCCGCGGUAACACGUAGGGGGCAAGCGUUGUCCGGAUUUAUUGGGCGUAAAGAGCUCGUAGGCGGUUGCGUAAGUCGGAUGUGAAAACUCAGGGCUCAACCCGGAGACGCCAUCCGAUACUGCGCUGACUAGAGUCCGGUAGGGGAGCAUGGAAUUCCUGGUGUAGCGGUGAAAUGCGCAGAUAUCAGGAGGAACACCAGUGGCGAAGGCGGUGCUCUGGGCCGGUACUGACGCUGAGGAGCGAAAGCGUGGGUAGCGAACAGGAUUAGAUACCCUGGUAGUCCACGCCGUAAACGUUGGGCACUAGGUGUGGGGCCUACUUAACGGGUUCCGUGCCGUAGCUAACGCAUUAAGUGCCCCGCCUGGGGAGUACGG